rnacentral:misc_RNA from 1 species
AAAUUUUUGGGAUAAAGGAUUAGUUGAGUUAAGUUGAGUUGUUGUUAGAAACCCCAACCAUAGGUUUUAUAUACAUUAUAGGUUUUAUAUGCAUUAAGACCAAUUGGGGAAUCAUGAAGGUACUAGAGCAAAUAGUCUUACCUUGUUUUUGAAAUGUUGGGUCUUCAUGCUCUGAGAUGCUUCAUGGCUAGUUGUGUUAUUUGGACACAGGUUAACAGCUCAGACAUGCCAGCCCAUGUAUAAGACUGUUCUAUGUGAAUGGAAUUAAUUAUAUCUGUGCAAAAUGAUCAACAAGUCUCUUCAAUUAAAUAGAAGAAACUGGAGAAGCAGGAAUGAGGGAGGAAAGGAUUAUUGCCACAGGGGUGUGUUUUUGGGUGUAUGUCUUUCUGUGUCAAGGUUUUGUGAAUUGUCAUUUUUAGGUCCCUGUUCUUUGUUGAAUCUUUAUCCCAUGUUCAGUAUAUGUUAACAUGGCAUUAAGUGCACUCUUUGCUCUUACCUCAAGAGACCUUGCACGUAGCAAUCACAUAACAGAAUGUUACAAAAAAUUACCUUGCAUAUCACAUCAAAUAGAACAGGUAUCAUAAUGCAUGCCUAUAUCUGAUGGGUAUUCUAGAAACUGAAUUUCAGAAGGUGGAAAGUGAAAGUUCACUAGAGGCCAUGCCUUGAACGAAAUGUGAAUGCUACACACAUGGCAUUUGUGUACGUGUAUGCCUUGCAUAUUAAGAGAAGAAAGUGGUCCAGACUCCAGAGAGAGAGAGUGUGCGAGUGUUCCUGACAUUCAAUUCAGUAUUUGGUAAUAGCUAAUCUCUUUUUUUUUCUUCAUCUUCUCUUUGUAUAAGGAGAGCACUUUGACAUAAACUUAUGCAUGCAAUGAUCUAUACCCAAAUCCCCACUUACUGAAACCAGUCAAGGUAGACCUAUGUUGUAAUUGCUGUUUCUUAUUUUGAUAUUGCAACCCCUCGUCAAAUUGUGUCAUAAUAUCAAAAGAAAUCCCACUUCUUUAAAUGAAUUUGUGAGAAAGUGAAGUAGAUGCUGCAGCCUACUGCAGUAAACAUUUAACAUAUGAAUGACUAAAAAUUUCAAGCCACCUAGAUCUCUUUUCCCCCUUGAAGCAGCCUAUUUUAUUACAAAGUAAUGGAUUCAGUGCGCACAUCUUUUGUACUCAUUUUCAAGGUCAAUGAUUAUGCUUUUUGCCCAUUUAUGGUUUUAGGACCACUUGUUUGGUAGAGAGAAAACUUGUAGAUUUGAGGUAGUUCAAUAUCUUUUUAUGGCAUAAAGGUUUUUUUUUUUUUAAUCAAUUAAUUCAGUGAAUUUAUUAUUUAUGGCAUGAAGUUUUAUUUUCACCGUCUCCUUUUUGUUGUCUACUGAGCAUUUAUUUUUAUAGUGCAUUUAUGUUCCUGCAUUAUUGCUUCUGCAGAAACAAAAGGUCCAACAAGAGU